rnacentral:rRNA from 1 species
UACGUAGGGUGCGAGCGUUGUCCGGAAUUACUGGGCGUAAAGAGCUCGUAGGUGGUUUGUCGCGUUGUUCGUGAAAACCGGGGGCUUAACCCUCGGCGUGCGGGCGAUACGGGCAGACUUGAGUACUGCAGGGGAGACUGGAAUUCCUGGUGUAGCGGUGGAAUGCGCAGAUAUCAGGAGGAACACCGGUGGCGAAGGCGGGUCUCUGGGCAGUAACUGACGCUGAGGGGCGAAAGCGUGGGGAGCGAACAGG